rnacentral:rRNA from 1 species
CAGACCUGUAAUCGGAAAAGAUUACCCGCUGAGUUUAAGCAUAUCAUUAAGCGGAGGAGAAGAAACUAACCAGGAUUUCC